AUCAGUGUUGCCGUCAUCGUCAUCAUCACUCA
rnacentral:snoRNA from 1 species